AAUAGAAACAAUACACAGUCAUGAAAAUUCUUAGGUUGUCAAAAGGCAGCUGUUAAAAUCAUAUCUUAAGCUGUUUCACACUCUGAUCAUCAGGUUGUUCUCUGGAGCUCAGUGGUUCUUGGUGGUGUCCCACUCUCAUGUAACCACUUCCCCUCGUUCCUGUCUGCUGACUCUCUCAGUUCGAUCAAAAACACUUAAAAAUGCUGAAGAAAGAGUAAGAGGUUCAUUUCUACCUUCUGCUAUGGAGAUUUUUCAAACCAGGAUCCUGCAUCUGAAUUUGUGUGUGAUGAUUACUUUACUGACCAAUGCAGGUAUGUUGGGGCUUUUUGGCUGAUUGAGAAUCUUGAAUUGGCAUCCAUCAUGUUGGCACCAUUGAUGAAAGAGAGAUGUCUGAUUAGCUGUUCAGCUUUGCAAACCAGCACACAAGAAAAAAUGAAAUUGGCAAGACAAGCAAACUACGAAGACAAGAGGGCACAAAAAGAAGACUAUUUAAUUUUUUCAGGGCAUUCCAGUGUGUGAAUAUUUUUAUAAUAACAUGCCAAUAUGUAGCCUAAUUAAUAUAAGUGAAGGCCAACAGAUUAUAACGAUUUAUACUCAAAAUGGUAAGCAAGCUCUGCUUUAAAAAAAAAAAAAUUAUAUUCGCAUUAUUUGUUCAAAAUUUCCUUUUUUUUUAAUGACAAAUACAACUGUUAUGGACAGUUUACUCUCACUCAACUUUUUUGUCCAGGUAAAGCUGAUCUCCACUAGUUCUUUGAUGUUGAUUUGGUGUAUACCAACUUUAAGAUGAUCAAACAUUGUUUACUGUAUGCUGUGGGGUAAGAAUACAGUUGAUUUUCUGGUACAUUGCUGUUCCUAAAAAUUUUCAAAAAUAAUCAGAUGUGCACUUAAACUGAGCAAAUCAGAAACGAGUUUGGAUUGAGAAAUUGCUUUUCAGUAUGCAAUAGAGUAAGCGAGCUAUGACAUCACUUUCUAGGCGGAUCAGCUGUUAGUAUUACACUGGUUCCCUCGACAAAAGCCAAUAGGGGUUUUUCGAUAGGCUUUUGGAUUAUCGCAAAAAAUAAGCUCUGUGUUAAAUCAUAGUUCAUGAAACUUACACGUUUUGUCCAUAAAGUUAAUCUCCACAAAAUAAUAUAACUUUUAUGAAUUUUUAAGCUUAAAUAAAAGCGCCAGACCUUAAAAGCUGAACUUGGGCUAUAAACGAACUACAGCACCACAGUUCCACUUCCACGGUUGCCCGCGUCACCACCACCACACUUCCCACAACUUUUUCAGACUUUCUGUACAUUUCGAAAUAAGGUGCAUUAAAAGUCAAUAAAUCCUUUAUUAAUAAACAAUAAAAUUCUAGUGCAUUUAAUCUCUUAAAUAACAGCAGAGUGGGGGGGGGGUAUGGUAAGAUUAAACUUAUUUUAGUGAAUAAAGUACCAUAUUUCAGCUAUAAUUUUAUUAUGGAUGGUAAACAAAAUGUUAUUUUAUUCUUGCUUCUAGAAAAUCCUCAAUCUGUAACAGCUUCAUGUGGCCAUAAACAUUUAAUUUUAAUGUGGCUUUAGGCACUAUGCAUUGUAAAAGUUUCACUGUCAUCAUGACUAAGCCGGUAAAUGUGGUGUUUACAUGGAAUAAUUGUAAUAUGAGCUUACUAGAACCCAGAGUCUCCGCAUCAGUAGGAAAGCGAUAAAAUGAACAUCUUCCAAGACUUGUGAUGCAUUUCGGGGAAAAAAACAUUGUCGAACAACAAUAUAAAAUGCGAGAAACUAUUAACACUAGAAGUCCCAGAGAUUUGUAACCCUCCUUUAGCCAAGUGGAUGCUAACUGGCUAGUCUUUUGGCUAUCAUUAGCAUCAAUUAUUGUGUAAAUAUGGUCAUUACCUGAGCAAUCUGCAGGGGGGUUGGGGGUGUGUGUGUGAAUGGUUGCUGGUGGCUUGUUUGUAUGUGUGGGGGAGGGAGGGCUGCUAAAAGCAGAGAACUUGAUUGACCUCAAGAAAAGAAAAUGCAGAGAAGACUCACCACUCGGCAGGCCUUGGAAAUGAUCCUGAGUGAAGUAAACCCUUGUGACUCAGAUGGAGAAGACAUAGAACUUCAGCCGGAUUCGGACUCAGAUCUGUCUGAUCUGUCUUCAGAUGAGGAGACUGCUCCUCAACCAAAAAAGAGAGCCCGUUUGGGGACUGACCUGACAGAGACAGUGAAAGAUGGCACAGUGUGGCGUGAAGAACAGGUGGGGACGCGUCUCCCUUUCACCCCAAUCAAAGCGUAUGCUGCAGAUGGAGAGCCAACGGCUAUGGCCAGGAAAAGUAUCUCGAGUCGCCUUCAGAGCUUCCUAUUCAACAUGCACAGGAAACGGAGCAUGUUCAUUGGUUCAUGGCCCUCCCUGAACUAAUGGCAUUUAUUGCAAUUGUCAUCUUGCGGGGGCUUACCAAGGUUCCAUCACUACGUGACUGCUGGUCAGCAAACCUGGGAAACCCACAUAUCAUUGGAACAAUGCCGCGAAACCGCUUCCAAGACAUCAUGCGACACCUACGCUUUGAUGACAGGUCCACCCGGAGUGAUCGAGCAAAGACUGAUAAGUUUGCUGCAAUUUCCAGUGUGUGGGGAUCAAGUGUGUCAUUGUGUCAUUGUGUGUAAAAGUGCUAUGAAAAUAACAAUUUAUCUUAUUUAUUAGGUGUUUUCAACCACUGCUGCUACGCUGACGGCGUAUGCGCCCAAACGGAAGAAGACCGUCUACAUUCUUAGCAGCAUGCACAGCGUGAUUCAGACUGAUAAUACCACCAAAAGGAAGCCAAACACUGUCACCCUUUACAACACCACAAAGUGCGGCGUGGAUGUGAUGGACCAGAUGGUGCGGGAGUACACUAUCCGCACAGGGACACGGCGCUGGCCAGUUGCCGUGUUCUAUAACAUGAUUGACAUGGCAGCACUGAAUGCACAUGUGCUGUAUCAAGCAUCCACCGAAAGGCAGGAAAGACGGGUGGACUUCCUGGUGGAGCUUGCAAGAGAGUUGGCUAACUCUCAUAUGUGUGCGAAGAAGGCAAGAAAAGAACAAUUGCUUCGGACACAACCCUCCACACCUAGCCCUGGAAAAAGAGCCAUGUGUCAGGUCAAACACCAAUGCAAGAACAAUCAUGCCACUGUGCGAUGUGUUCACUGCUACAGAUACACAUGUGGUAAAUGCAGACGGGAGAUACCAUGGCAGUGCCAGGAUUGUGAGUGAUUGCUGGAUUACUCACUCACUUUUUAAUAUUAUUUGUAAAUAUGUGUACAAAUGGUUGGUUUCUUUAUUUUAUUUUGUACUAUUUUUAUCAAUAAAUCUCAGCAACAAAGGAAAAAAAAAACAUGUGUGUUGAUUUCUCCCUAAGAUGGCAAAGUGAAACACAAGUUUCCUUGAAGUGGCUCAGCAUGGCCCCAAAUUGUUUACAUAACAAAAGCAACUGUUCACAGCUGAUUAAGGAUAUUAGCCUAAAGCCUUCCAGCCCAUCGGCUGUCCUGCGGGUUUUAUAGGUAGAAAAGCCAAAUGGCUGCUCUCUGGGACUUCUAGUGUUAAUUGGUUAUUCUACAAUUAAUUGUACUAUAAAUUACACUGCAAUUGGAAAAUAAUGUAAACUAAUAAACUGUUUGGCGUGAUGAUGUUUAAUGUCUCCAACAGGGCCUGUAGUUACAUUUAGCAACUUGUUAGCAACCACCUUCUUAAAGAAACUUAACAGAUAAAAAAAACUUACAUUCAAAAAACCCAUUGACUCUGGGACGAUGGAACCAGAAGUGCUAAAAUGGGUUGUUGCCUACAAAAUGACAUCAUAGUUCCACCACUAUAUAUGCAUUAGGUGAUCACUGAAAGAAAUGUGAGUGAUUUGGUGAGCAGAUGCUCAUGGCUCUCCAGUCUAGUGUUUGUUUAAGUAUUGUCAAAUUGCACUUUUGCAUUUCUUCUUCAUCUUGUCUUGCCACAUGACAAAAUUUUAUACUUACUAUAAUUAGUACUACCUAGUUCCAGCGGAACAUGACUGUGUGAAAAAGUCAACCUUUAGAAUAUCACCUCCCUGUUCCCUUUAGGCCUAAUAAAUAUACUUCCUGUUUCUCUAUGUAGUUCUAGGUUGUGGGAUUACAGAUUUAUAAAAUGUUAAAUCUAGGUUCCAAUGUAAUAUUAUGUACAUUGUGUUUUUACAUUUUGAGGUUAAGAUGAUGACAUUCUGAGAUGAUCAAGUCAAACAGCCCAGGUUUCUGAGAUAUUGACCUUUUGUUUGCUCUUCCUGACCAUCUGGCUUCUUAAGAUCAAGGCACAGCUGUGCCUUUGUUUCUAUGAUAAUGUGAAGGUAUGGGUGAUACUGUCAGGCACCUCUGUAUUUAAAUGACACUUUAAUGCUGAUGAGAUCAAGGCUUCAAAUUCCAUUUGCUUGCUUUGUUUAAAUUGUCUCCACCUCUAUGUAUCCCUCCCCCUUGAAAUGUAUAUAAACUCCAAAAUAUCACUGCUUUGGUGAGACUUUUGAUGACGGCAGUGCUAAGCAGAGCGUUCUCAAUAAAGAAUUCUGCUGAAGAUUACCCAAGAGUCUCCUGGUCUUCGCUUCAGAGUUUCCAACAGUUUUGGUGCCGUGCCCUGGAUAGAGCUUCUCACCUGAAUCCAGCUAUCCUCUGCUUUGCCAGGGAAAGUUAACAGGUGUGUUAACAAGUGUAUCCUCUGCUUGCCAGGGAAGUGUUAGAAGUGUCCUGUUGUGUCAGAAAGACUUUACAAAAUGUUGAGAAGGAAUGCUAAGCUGAUUCCAACAACUAAGAAAGGUGGACUAGCUACUCCUUCAUGGACAGACAGUGAGUUCAAAUCAUUUUUAGGACAGCACAUGGACUCAAUAGUGACAGAGUCAGUCAGAUUGAAUUUGAUAAAGAAAUUUGGUAUUGAUCCAGAAAAAGUAUGGUCAGUUGAAGAAUGUAAAAAGGUACUAGGAUCAUGUAUUCGCAAAAACAAUGUGAAAGGCAUUAUCUGCUGCCACAGAGAAUUUGGUUUAGCUUUAGCUACGCAACAUUCUCAGCGUAACUCAGAGCUAGAGAAACAGAACAAAGAGCUCAGAGCUAGAGUAUCCUCUUUGACUAAGGAAUUAAACUGCAGCAAAAUCUGAUGUGGUAGAAGUUAGUCAGCCUGAUAACAUUUAUCCUGACUUACAAGCUUUCUUUGAAACAGAUGUAGCCAUCCAGUCAGUAACUGAUGUGCCUGUAAAUUCAGUGAAGGUAUGUGGAGCUAGGAGAAGUUCUCAGGGAAUUGAGGGAACUGAAAGUGUUCCUCCCAACUCUUCUGUUGUCCGAGCUGUUGCCAAAGCGCUAAGACCUAAAGAUAUAGAGAGACUAUCCCAGAGUUUACUGAACGCACAAAUUUUACUGAAUUCAGAAGAGCAUUGAUCAGCAAAAUGAGUCUCUAUGACAUGUCGUUAGCAGAAGUCACACAGCUGAUGUCACAAAUUCUAACUGAAUCUGAAUUCAACAGUUUUGAGUGUGCUGUUACUUCUGAACUAUAACAUGCCAGUAAAGAUGAAUUAAGAGAGGGAGUUCUGAGAGAGUUAAAGAACAUUGUUAGACCAAAAGUGAAUUGGUCAAAGGUCACUAGUUGUGUACAGAAGGAGGCUGAAGCUGUGAGUGAAUACACUGAAAGAUUUUGAAAGUCACCAGUAACUUACAGUGGAAUAGUUGAUGAUCCUGAAAGUGUGUUAGAUGGGACCAUUAGUCCGCAUCUGGUCAGAUGGCCUUGUAGCUGAGUACAGAAAAGCCUUGCCAUUCCUAGAUCUAACUUGGUCUAACAAAACUCUCAGAAGAAAUCUAGACAGUUUAGCUACAUGGGAAAGAGACUCUGAUGUUAAAGUCAGAGUACACAUUGCAGCAGCAUCCUUUCAUGUCAACACAGUGAACCGACAGAAAUGUAGAUGUCUUAAGAAGGAGCGCAGUUGUCAUUACUGUGGUAAAACUGGACACUGGAUGAAAAAGUGUAGGAAUAGCAAAAAGACAUUAAGAGAAAUGAACAGCUUUACUCAGCUCCUAUUGAGUCUACUUACCACUCUAAAGCAGCCCCUCCCCACUUCACCUAACUGUUGAAGCAGCUUGCUCAGGUGUUAACUGUUAGGGCUGUGAGUGCUUAACUACCCCAGUAAUGUAUAACAAAGAUGAAAGAUUCUUUGAAAAUAAAACUACAGGAAGGUGACUGUCACUUCCUUUCAUUGAGAGAACGUUAAGUACACUCUCAGCCUUCAAAGCUAUAUUACAGCACACUCCAGUCACUCCUAUUCUCUUUGGGUUAUGAUGUUUUGUUAUGACUGAUGUUCCAUUAGAGGAUGGAGAUGUUGUACAGUCAAGUUUGCACACCAACUACAGGGACAGAUUAGGACACACACAGACCAGUGGGGAGCCCAAGGAAGAACCAAAGUGCAACGGGCCUCGGGGGCCAACCCUGUGGUGAAGACUUCCUCAUAGGUUUCCCCUAUCAGUAGUUUUAUCCCCACCUCACUGGUCCAUAGGUGUCAAAUUACUUAAAACUAGGUUGAGAAAAACACUAUACGAUCACCAGACUUAAAACCACUAUACGAUCAACAGAAGUCUAAAAAUGUCUAUGCAUGAAUACUGCUGGUCUGCUGUUUCUUUGUUUUCUUGUGUUGCAGGUAUGUGUGCAUGCCAUGUCACCUUCAUAUGCGGCACCCUGGUGUAAAGCAUCACCUAAGACAUCCAUGAACAAGCUUCAUGAGGACCAGGCGUCUCUACGUGGGAAAUGGACUACAGAAAACAGACUUCACAGCUAUUCAGGCGCCAUGGACUUCAAGACUUCCACUCUUAUGCUACAUGGUUUUCUGUGUCAUCAUGUAGUUUCCACGACAUGUUACCAUCCAUGUCAUAUGUGUCCACAGUUAUGGUUCUAAAAAUAACUAUUACACCUAAGUAAAUCUAGGACAAGACACAGAAUAAGAUAUGUGCCUUUUCAGGUUACAUGACUGCAAGAUGGGGCUUAUGUUAACACACAUAGGCCAUAGAAUGGACUUAUGAAGGUUUAAAUUUGUAUUAUGUGAGAGUUAUUAGAACUCUCAAUGGGAGGACUGUAGGAUUACAAAUUUAUAAAAUGUUAAAUCUAGGUUCCAAUGUAAUAGUAUGUACAUUGUGUUUUUACAUUUUGAGGUUAAAGGGUACAUAACAUACACAGUUUCACCAAAUCUCAUGUUAAUCUUUAGUACCUAUAGAGUAGUACUGCAUCCUUCAUAUCUCCAAAUAGUCUUUAGUUUUAUCAUAUUUAUAAAAGAAAAAUACAGCUUUCCGAUUCUCUCCGGAAAAAGCAGAGCUCCUGGAGGCGUGCCGUGGGUGGAGCUAUAAUACUGAUGUUUCGUGUUGUUUCCAUUAACAUACAGUAUAUUCACUUAUGUGCGAAUUUCCUACAAAAGACAGAAAUCUGAUGCAGUUGUACUUACAUGAAUUGGGUCUUUCAUCACUGGGUCCGCUCCAUUAUUUAAUAGCAAACCAUGUGAAAAUCCAGCGUCGACCUAGGCCUUGACUGAAAUGACGAGAACACACUGCAACACUCCGUUGCUGCCCCGGAAAAACAAACUGCAUCCACUCUGUGCCUUUGUUUCUAUGAUAAUGUGAAGGUAUGGGUGAUACUGUCAGGGACCUCUGUAUUUAAAUGACACUGUUAUGCUGAUGAGAUCAAGGCUGGGAAAAUGCCAGUGUCUGGCAUUUUCCUGAUUCCAUUUGCUUGCUUUGUUUAAAUUGUCUCCAACUCUAUGUAUCCCUCCCCCUUGAAAUGUAUAUAAACUCCAAAAUAUCACUGCUUUGGUGAGACUUUUGAUGACUGCAGCGCCAUCCAGCGCGUUCUCAAUAAAGAAUUCUG
ensembl:lncRNA